AUUGAACGCUGGCGGCAGGCCUAACACAUGCAAGUCAAGCGGUAGAGAGGUGCUUGCACCUUUUGAGAGCGGCGGACGGGUGAGUAAUGCCUAGGAAUCUGCCUGGUAGUGGGGGAUAACGCUCGGAAACGGACGCUAAUACCGCAUACGUCCUACGGGAGAAAGCAGGGGACCUUCGGGCCUUGCGAUAUCAGAUGAGCCUAGGUCGGAUUAGCUAGUUGGUGAGGUAAUGGCUCACAAAGGCGACGAUCCGUAACUGGUCUGAGAGGAUGAUCAGUCACACUGGAACUGAGACACGGUCCAGACUCCUACGGGAGGCAGCAGUGGGGAAUAUUGGACAAUGGGCGAAAGCCUGAUCCAGCCAUGCCGCGUGUGUGAAGAAGGUCUUCGGAUUGUAAAGCACUUUAAGUUGGGAGGAAGGGUCGUUACCUAAUACGUGACGAUUUUGACGUUACCGACAGAAUAAGCACCGGCUAACUCUGUGCCAGCCGCCGCGGUAACAC
rnacentral:rRNA from 1 species